GACGGAGGGAGCUAGCGUUGUUCGGAAUGACUGGGCGUAAAGGGCGCGUAGGCGGUUUUUUAAGUGAGGCGUGAAAGCCCUGGGCUUAACCCAGGAGGUGCGUUUCAGACUGGAAGACUUGAGGACGAGAGAGGAAAGUGGAAUUCCUAGUGUAGAGGUGAAAUUCGUAGAUAUUAGGAAGAACACCAGUGGCGAAGGCGAACUUUCUGGCUCGUAACUGACGCUGAGGCGCGAAAGCGUGGGGAGCAAACAGG
rnacentral:rRNA from 1 species